GCGGGAAUAGCUCAGUCGGUAGAGCGCAACCUUGCCAAGGUUGAGGUCGCGAGUUCGAGCCUCGUUUCCCGCU
rnacentral:tRNA from 1 species